CGCGUAGGUGGUUUGUUAAGUUGGAUGUGAAAGCCCCGGGCUCAACCUGGGAACUGCAUCCAAAACUGGCGAGCUAGAGUAUGGCAGAGGGUGGUGGAAUUUCCUGUGUAGCGGUGAAAUGCGUAGAUAUAGGAAGGAACACCAGUGGCGAAGGCGACCACCUGGGCUAAUACUGACACUGAGGUGCGAAAGCGUGGGGAGCAAACA
rnacentral:rRNA from 1 species